CUACGGACGAAGAAAUUAUUUGGUCAGAGAGACAAAGUAGUGACCAGAUUUACUCUGCUACAUGCGCAGCUUGUCAAACUGUGAUUCCCCAUAAGUAAAAACAAACAUUUCUCCCAGAUCUAGCUCCCUGCACAGGCAGUUAGAGAGAACUUGUCAGUCUGUGUGAUAGCACCAUCUGGUUGUGUUAAUUUUAUUUAAGGAGUAUGUUAAAGUAAGGACCCCUUUAUUCAAUGAUACUAGCAAAACCUAUUUCAAUUUGAACAUGAAAUAAUAAUUGAAAAUGUACAAAUUUAUAGGGAGGUACUUUUUUUUUACCAAAAAAUCUUAUUUAAAAUGAAGCCAAAACUGGAAGUUAAAUUUGAAAUGUGAGCGUCUUUGUAUUCGUUAAAACUCAGGACUAAGAUUUUUAAAAAACCAGCAGCCAAUAAACAGGGAGGAGAUUUGCAUGAAGGGGCCGCUCUACAGCGCUGGGGGUUUAAGAGAGAUUUCAGAGGGUCCCAUAAGAGACCCGUUUGCCUCAGGAAGCCGAGCUCAUCUGGAUCCACCAUGGCCUGGGCCCCUCUGCUCCUCGCACUGCUCACUUAUUGCUCAGGGGUCAGUUCGCAGCCCGUGGUGACUCAGGAGCCCUCGAUGUCGGUGGCCCCAGGAGGGGCUGUCACUCUGUCCUGCAGCCUGAGCACUGGAGCCGUCACCACCAGCAACUAUCCCUACUGGUACCAGCAGAAACCUGGCUCUGCUCCGAAGCUGCUUAUAUACAGCACCAAUAGCAGACCCUCCGGGAUCCCUGCCCGGUUCUCGGGGUCCAUCUCCGGUAACAACGCUGCCCUGACCAUCACCGGUGUCCAGGCAGAGGACGAGGCUGACUAUUACUGUGCUGUGUGGGCUAGUAGUGCGAAUCACAGUGAUCCAGCCAAACGGGGAACUGAGACAAAAACCUCCCCUGUCUUCAUCCCCUCCAGCCUGGGCUCUGCACUGACUGCGCAGUUUGCUUCCUCUCUUCAAUUCAUGAGACCCUGAUGGCUCCUUCUUUGGAAUUUCAGCCACUUGCUGUCAGCAGGGAGCGCUGCUCCACCCACUCUCCAUUCACUCUCUCUUGGGGAGAUGGCAGCCGCUCUUAUGCUUUCAACUCAGUCUCUUUACAAGGAGCAGCUUUUCCAGCCUUCUGGAUCCCCGGGUUACAGACCCACCACUGCCUGGUUCUCACGGGGAGCAGAUGGCCACAAGCUCCUUGGGUAAAGAGACACGUCUCCCUGAACAUAGUUCCCCCGUGUUAUCCCACGAGCUGGACAACACCCUGAAUGGCCUGGAAGUUAGAGGAAAUGUAGGAAAGACCUCUCAGAUCCCUUCGUCCAUUCCAGUUGCCGGGGCUGGAUGAAGUGUCCAGACACAGGGUGUAUCAGAUAAUAGAUGAUAUCAAAAUCCCUCCUCCCUAGAACCUCCUCCCUGGCCCUAUCCGAGCUGCUUGGCAGCUUCCCUGGUCCCCUCCAGAAGUUCAUUAGUGCCUCCAUGGCCCUGCUCCUCCCAGCCCCUGCAGUCCAGCAAGCCACUGGCCCGUGGCCAUGUCUAGUUCCCCGUGGGCCAGUCUCGGUGCUCAGGUACCGCAGGGAUGGGUGCGGCAUAAGAACCUCAAUAGAAAAGUUCAUCUGCUGGCUGCGGAGUCAGUGUCCUGCUGCGGGAAAGGCCGGGGCUGUCCUAGCCAAAGCAGGAGUGUUGGUGGCUGUGUCCCAAAGCUCCCCCUCCUCCCUGACCCCCAUCCUCUAGAGCCUGGCCUGACACUACUGCCCUCCCCCACAGCCCUGCCCCCUGCUCUGAGCAGGCUUAGGUAUCAUGGGGGUAAUACACUGUCUACACUCAGGCUCUGUGACGUUAUUGACAUAAUCUGUAACUGUAUAGAUCACUGUUGCAACCACGCUUAUAUAUUUGCAGCAAAUAUUGUAUAAAGGUUGCCCUGUAAGGGGUCUAGGGAGAGGUUAUGGUUUGCUGGUUAGGAUUAUGCUGUCUAUAUGUGUGUAUCAUUUUUGUAGUUAAAGUUAUGAAUAUUGGAUCGAUACUGUCUGUAUUUCAAACUUAUGCUGUGCUUCUGGGUGACACCCCAGACAAGUUGGUGUCAGCUCUACCUAGCCUGCUUGAUGGCCCAUUAAGGACCAUCAGAUCUACAACUGACCCAUUGAGAGAAGGCAGAUACGCCUUGUGACUCAGCAAAGCAUGCAGGGACUUGCCCAUGUGACUCCAAAGUCCAUUUUGCUGUAAUUUUCCCCAGUAAGAACAAAGCGGGGUUCUUACACCAGGAAAAGACUAUAAAAGGCUGAUGCCUCACAUCCGUCCUGUCUUCAAUCCUGCUUCAUUCCUCUGGAGGGACUUUGCUACACUGAAGCUUUGAACAAAGGACUGAGUGACCCACCCCAGCUGGGGCUGUUCUCCAGAGACUUGAUUUGAACCUGCAGUUUGUGCCAUCACUGCGACAAGCCUGAAGCAAGAACUUGGCCAUUACUGUAUGUCAUUGGUUCCAUUUAACCAACUCUUCCUCUCAUCUAUCUCUUUUUCCUUUUGUGAAUAAACCUUUAGAUUUUAGAGUCG